rnacentral:rRNA from 1 species
CUCUUUUUGAAAUAAUAAAAAGUCCCCCCUGCUCAAUGCAAAAGUAAAUAGCCGCAGUAUCUUGACUGUGCAAAGGUAGCAUAAUAAUUAGUCUUAUAAUUCAAGACUGGAAUGAAAGGGAAAAUCAAAAAAGUACUAUUUUUAUUUUACCUCCUAAACUUUACCUUUAAGUAAAAAGGCUUAAAUAUAAAUUAAAGACAAGAAGACCCUGUAAAUCUUAACACCAUACAAACAUAAAACCUAAUAAAGUGUUCAGCUGGGGCGGCGAAGAAAAUAAACAUCCUUAAAUAAUAAUAACAAAUAUUAACAUACCUAGAAAUUCUAAAAAUUAAUAAAGAUACUUCAGGGAUAACAGUGUAAUUUUUCUAGAAAGGCCCUAUUGACAGAAAUGUUUACAACCUCGAUGUUGGAUUAAUAACCCUCUUUUACGCAAAAGUAAAAAAAGGAGGUCUGUUCGACCUUAAAUAAUUUCCA